rnacentral:misc_RNA from 1 species
GAUGAAGAACGCAGUGAAAUGCGAUAAUUAAUGUGAAUUGCAGAAUUCCGUGAAUCAUCGAGUCUUUGAACGCACAUUGCGCCCCCUGGUAUUCCGGGGGGCAUGCCUGUCCGAGCGUCAUUGCUGCCCUCAAGCACGGCUUGUGUGUUGGGCCUCCGUCCUCCUCCCGGGGGACGGGCCCGAAAGGCAGCGGCGGCACCGCGUCCGGUCCUCGAGCGUAUGGGGCUUCGUCACCCGCUCUUGUAGGCCCGGCCGGCGCUUGCCGACACAUCAAUCUUUUUUCCAGGUUGACCUCGGAUCAGGUAGGGAUACCCGCUGAACUUAAGCAUAUCAAUAAGCGGAGGA